ensembl:lncRNA
UUUUUUAUUGGUCGACAUGAAAAAAAACAUAAGGGGUAACACUGUUGUUUUUUAUUGGUCGUCAUGAAAAAAAACAUAAGGGGUAACAUUGUUGUUUUUUAUUGGUCGUCAGGAAAAAAAACAUAAGGGGUAACAUUGUUGUUUUUUAUUGGUCGUCAAGAAAAAAAACAAAAGGGGUAACACUGUUGUUUUUUAUUGGUCGUCAUGAAAAAAAUCAUAAGGGGUAACACUGUUGUUUUUUAUUGGUCGUCAUGAAAAAAAACAUAAGGGGUAACAUUGU